rnacentral:rRNA from 1 species
CCAAUAGCGUAUAUUAAAGUUGUUGCAGUUAAAAAGCUCGUAGUUGAACUUCGGGGUUUACCCAUUGGUCAGGCUUAAUUGUCUGCACUGGUGAGAUGAAUCUCUACCUUCUGAGGAACUUUCAUGCCAUUUAUUUGGUGUGAUGGGAAAUCAGGACUGUUACUUUGAAAAAAUUAGAGUGUUUAAAGCAGGCUAACGUCUGAAUACAUUAGCAUGGAAUAAUGAAAUAGGACGGACUGAUUCUAUUUCGUUGGUUUCUAGGAUCACCGUAAUGAUUAAUAGGGAUAGUUGGGGGCAUUAGUAUUCAAUUGUCAGAGGUGAAAUUCUUGGAUUUAUUGAAGACUAACUACUGCGAAAGCAUUUGCCAAGGAUGUUUUCAUUAAUCAAGAACGAAAGUUAGGGGAUCGAAGACGAUCAGAUACCGUCGUAGUCUUAACCAUAAACUAUGCCGACUAGGGAUCGGAUGAUGUUAAUUUUAUAAUGACUCAUUCGGCGCCUUACG